GGAGGAACUUCUUUACUUUGAGGGUGGCAGAGCCCUGGAACAGGCAUCCCAGGGAGGUGGUGGAGUCUCCUUCUCUGGAGACAUUCAAAACCUACUUGGACAAGUUCCUGAGCAACCUGCUCUGGGUGGACCUGCUCUGGCAGGGGGUUGGACUAGAUGAUCUCCAGAGGUCCCUUCCAACCCCAUGUGAUUCUCUAACCUAGACCUGGCUAGCAGUCGCCCAACAGAGGGUUUAAAAAUCUGUUUUCAAGAAGUUUCAGUGGACGACUUCUCUGAUUUACAAUGUGUUUUGAUUGUUCAGACAGAACUUCUAACGGUUUUUAGGAUUAAUGCUGGAGGGAGAAGAAAAGGAGCCUGUGGCCAUACUCUCGGCGCAUUCAGCGUACGGCUUAUGAGCCUGAUCAUCUUGCUUCCUGCUGUGUGGGGGAAAACAUCCACUGACCAGCAAGGACAGCUUCGAUGGGAAUAACUGAGAACCUGAGCUCAGAACACCUUUGCCUGGGAGGCAGGAAAGACCAGUUUGAAUUCCUUCAGAAACAUCCACCUGGAGAUGGGGCCAUUGCUCAGCCAGUGGACUAUAGAGCAGCCUGGAUCCUAAAUCGAGCGUGCCUUCUGUCUGCUGGAAGCUGCUCUAGGUUCGUUCAGCAACAGGCGUGCUGGGAUUUGCUGGGACAGCUGCUGGAAUACAGCAAACAUAUGGAAAUGUGAAGGAAUACAUCAGCACCGUAAAAGAAACCAGCCCUUAGGUCCUGAACACAAGCUGGAGGAAGACACAGCAGUUGCAGUCGGUUAACACUGUGAGUUACUUCAGGGCCUGGACUUCCCGGUUGACUCUUUUUUUCCUUGAUUUGAACAAGUUCCUGUAACUUUCAGUCAUUUGCCUGCCAGCUGCAGCUUCUGAAAGGUGGAAACCCUUAGAGAUGGUUUCUUCUCAGCUCUACGGACCAGGACAGGGAUGAAAUGACAGUAUUCAGCGGGUAGCUACCCUCUACCUUCAGUGCUGAUAGUUUGCUUCCACCAGCAAAAUGCCAGGAGAAGGCCAUGCAGGAGGGAAACACUCCCUAAACCCUCUGCUGCAGG
rnacentral:lncRNA from 1 species